rnacentral:snRNA from 1 species
AUCACUUCUCAGCCUUUUGGCUAAAAUCAAGUGUAGUAUCUGUUCUUACCGGUUUAAUAUCUGAUAUGUCCUCUAUAUGAGGACAAUAUAGUAAAUGGAUUUUUGGAACAGGGAGAUGGAAUAGGCACUUGCUCCGUCCACUUCACACAUCGACCUGGUAUUGCAGUACCUUCAGGAACGGUGCACAAAAU